CUCCUACGGGGCGCAGCAGUGGGGGAUAUUGCACAAUGGGGGGAACCCUGAUGCAGCGACGCCGCGUGGGUGAAGGAGCGUUUCGGCGCGUAAAGCCCUAUCGGCAGGGAAGAAGGAGGACGGUACCUGACUAAGAAGCCCCGGCUAACUACGUGCCAGCAGCCGCGGUAAUACGUAGGGGGCAAGCGUUAUCCGGAUUUACUGGGUGUAAAGGGAGCGUAGACGGCCAUUCAAGCCAGAUGUGAAAGCCCGGGGCUCAACCCCGGGACUGCAUUUGGAACUGUGUGGC
rnacentral:rRNA from 1 species